CAGCAGCAGCCGCGGUAAUACGAAGGGUGCAAGCGUUACUCGGAAUUACUGGGCGUAAAGCGUGCGUAGGUGGUGGUUUAAGUCCGUUGUGAAAGCCCUGGGCUCAACCUGGGAAUUGCAGCGGAUACUGGGUCACUAGAGUGUGGUAGAGGAUAGUGGAAUUUCCGGUGUAGCAGUGAAAUGCGUAGAGAUCGGAAGGAACAUCUGUGGCGAAGGCGACUAUCUGGGCCAACACUGACACUGAGGCACGAAAGCGUGGGGAGCAAACAGGAUUAGAUACCCGCGUAGUCCCUGUCUCUUAUAC
rnacentral:rRNA from 1 species